UACGAAGGGUGCAAGCGUUAAUCGGAAUUACUGGGCGUAAAGAGCUCGUAGGCGGUCUGUCGCGUCUGCUGUGAAAACUCAGGGCUUAACCCUGAGCUUGCAGUGGGUACGGGCAGACUAGAGUGCGGUAGGGGAGACUGGAAUUCCUGGUGUAGCGGUGAAAUGCGCAGAUAUCAGGAGGAACACCGGUGGCGAAGGCGGGUCUCUGGGCCGUAACUGACGCUGAGGAGCGAAAGCAUGGGGAGCGAACAGG
rnacentral:rRNA from 1 species